GUACCGCUCUGUCUCCCUGGCAACGCGGCUCCACUUCCACAGCUCAGAAGAACACAAGUUUUCCAGUCCAUCGUCCGCGUGAGGAGAAAUUACAUGCAAUCUACAGAAUACCUUGACGUGAUACUCUUCAUCCUCACAGGGUUACGUUUUUAAAGGAAUUUACAGUAGGAUUCAGGGGGCUGAUUUAAAAAACACAAAAAGCCCUUUAUUUAUAGGCACAGCUGCGUAAAGAAAUAAGACGGCCCCUGAUGGCGACAGAGCUUCUUGACCCCUGACCAGGUAUCAAAGGAAGACAAGACCUCACGAAACCGGCACAAAUUGGAACAGUUGCCUUGAGGUCAUUAAAAUAUCAUUACAAUGCUAAAAUUCCCUCCCCUGAAAGAAAAGCUCUGGUGUUUUGUGUACAUGUGAUGUAUGAAGUCAUAUGCAUAUGAAUUGAGCCUGCAUGUCUGGAGGGCCGCUCUGCACAUGCUAACAUUCCUCUUCUACCUUGAACCUAGUCCUUAAAAACCCAUGCAACGUUCAGAGAGAAGGUGCAUUUAGAGUGAGAGCUGGCCUUCUCCAUUCCCUGGCCAGUGAAUAAAAACCUG
rnacentral:lncRNA from 1 species